GGAUGAAAGACGGUUUCGGCUGUCACUUACAGAUGGACCCGCGGCGCAUUAGCUAGUUGGUGGGGUAAUGGCUCACCAAGGCGACGAUGCGUAGCCGACCUGAGAGGGUGAUCGGCCACACUGGGACUGAGACACGGCCCAGACUCCUACGGGAGGCAGCAGUAGGGAAUCUUCCGCAAUGGACGAAAGUCUGACGGAGCAACGCCGCGUGAGUGAUGAAGGUUUUCGGAUCGUAAAGCUCUGUUGUUAGGGAAGAACAAGUGCGAGAGUAACUGCUCGCACCUUGACGGUACCUAACCAGAAAGCCACGGCUAACUACGUGCCAGCAGCCGCGGUAAUACGUAGGUGGCAAGCGUUGUCCGGAAUUAUUGGGCGUAAAGGGCUCGCAGGCGGUUUCUUAAGUCUGAUGUGAAAGCCCCCGGCUCAACCGGGGAGGGUCAUUGGAAACUGGGAAACUUGAGUGCAGAAGAGGAGAGUGGAAUUCCACGUGUAGCGGUGAAAUGCGUAGAGAUGUGGAGGAACACCAGUGGCGAAGGCGACUCUCUGGUCUGUAACUGACGCUGAGGAGCGAAAGCGUGGGGAGCGAACAGGAUUAGAUACCCUGGUAGUCCACGCCGUAAACGAUGAGUGCUAAGUGUUAGGGGGUUUCCGCCCCUUAGUGCUGCAGCUAACGCAUUAAGCACUCCGCCUGGGGAGUACGGUCGCAAGACUGAAACUCAAAGGAAUUGACGGGGGCCCGCACAAGCGGUGGAGCAUGUGGUUUAAUUCGAAGCAACGCGAAGAACCUUACCAGGUCUUGACAUCCUCUGACAACCCUAGAGAUAGGGCUUUCCCUUCGGGGACAGAGUGACAGGUGGUGCAUGGUUGUCGUCAGCUCGUGUCGUGAGAUGUUGGGUUAAGUCCCGCAACGAGCGCAACCCUUGAUCUUAGUUGCCAGCAUUCAGUUGGGCACUCUAAGGUGACUGCCGGUGACAAACCGGAGGAAGGUGGGGAUGACGUCAAAUCAUCAUGCCCCUUAUGACCUGGGCUACACACGUGCUACAAUGGACAGAACAAAGGGCUGCAAGACCGCAAGGUUUAGCCAAUCCCAUAAAUCUGUUCUCAGUUCGGAUCGCAGUCU
rnacentral:rRNA from 1 species